rnacentral:lncRNA from 1 species
AUGUCAUCCUUGCCCUCUCAUACUUCUUCUUUGGUCUUAGGUAUAGGUACCCAGACAAUAUAUUUUGAGAGAUUCCACAGAGAAGAGAAAAUUGCAUUUUUGGUUUGUACAGCCCUCAAUGGAGAGCAUGCAAAGGAGCCAAGAUCCCAUGAGAGAGAAUGCUUGGUGACGGAGCAUACAGGGAACACAUCUGGUGCAGAGAAGUUCAGGAAAACAGACCGAAGCUGUGUCCAACGAAGUAAUUCACACAGAAAUGUGAAUAUUAUUCAACUGACUUUAUAACUCACUUGUACAUUCAACUAAUAUUUAUUGAGCUGUAAGUCACCGGGAAUAAAACAGUGAACAAGAUGCA